AAAGGUUCUUUUGUGUAGGGACAGCUGAAACAAGGCCCUAAGUGGGAGCAGCAUGCAUAAGCCCAUGCAGAUCUCCAGUUACAGGUUACAAAGCAAUGUAUAUCAGGGUCUAUGAGACAUGGAAAUGUCUCACUGAACAAUGACGCUCAAAGCAUCAGUCUCCAUGAAACAGUCUUUCAUAAGGAGGUCUAAAGUUCUACGGAGAGGAAAACAAACUGACAGACAAAAGGAAAAUCCCUGGAGGAUGAACUCAAGCUUCAAGACAGCUUAAGUAUAGAGUUUGAUGUGUGCGAAAGACACAGGAGGGUUUCCGUGGGGGUUCUAAUAAUACUUAAUUGGAAAGAACACACAAAAGUACAUUCUGUCUCUGAAGAAGCUUCUGAUGCUGGGUCUCCAUACUUAGUUACUCAUUGCCACCUGAGGCAAGAUUCUUAGGAAAUUAAUACAACGCUCAGAAGCAAGGAGAAGCUCCAGAUAAGUUUAAGUUGUCAUUGGUUGUUUGUUUUUUUUAAGCAGAAACAACCACAACAAAUGCAGUUUCUCUGAAAAGAGAACAAGUGUUUUCAGCUCAACACAGGAACAACAAAAACACAAAAUGAAACAGUUCCAUGAUGCUAUUUUCAACUUCAUUUAACAGAAAUAAAUCAGGCUGAAAAAUAUGGAAAUUCCUACAGACAAAUCAAACUACCAGAAAUUGUAUCUCUUCAGCCUGUGAAUAUACAAGUAGAAUUAGGUUUUAAGACAUGAACACCAGCACCGGUUCAAGAUGAUACAGGUGAUAUUUUCCACUGUCAAUCAACAUUAAAUCAAUUCCCAGUUUUGCUUUCAAAGAAGCACACUUGGAAUUUGGCUGCUUGCAGUAUUUCAGAUGAGCCAUAAAACAGAAUUCCUGAACACUUGUGCUUACAGAUCACAUUGCACUUCACAGCUGUUGUGUUUUACCCCAGCAGAGGGUGCAUUUAAGCAAGUGGAAAAAAGCAAUUUUCUUUUAAACAUAGCUUCAAGUGCUUAGGGGUCUUUUUGAAUGAAAUGUAAUGCAUACAUAUAUUAUAUUUUAAAUAUAUUAAAUAAUUCAUAACAAGUAAUUAUUAGGCCUACCUGCAAUGUUUAUCUCAUUUUCUUCUAGUUCCUCAUGUGCCACAUUGAACAACAGCAUAAUGCUGCAACUAGCUAGAUGGAGCAGUGAAGUCUGAGGAGUAGACCUAAAUUUCACAACAUUGUGAUAAAUACGAGAUUUAGACUCGGCAGGAAUCCCAGAUGACUAUAAAGGAGAAAGUGACUGCCAUUGAAUGACACCCCUGAGUGCUCUUGGAAUAAAUCCAAUAUUGAGUGUCAAGCACAGAAGAAAAGCAGGAAACAAUGUUGCUUUUACAGUGAAACCAGAUAAUUUAAAGAUAAAUAGAGAAACUAGACCCUAACAUAACUAUCAUAUACUAAAAUCCAAUAAAAAGUUAAUAAAUUUUGGAAAAGCAA